AUACAAAAUAAAAAAAGCAUUAAACGGAUACCUUGACAAAAGAUUCUAUUGGAUGUUGUACAACAAAAAUUUUAGCUGAGCUGUAAUGCUGGGACGCUGAAAUGUCCAAUAAAAGAAAUUUUUCUCUUGGAAGUUUUCAGAAAAGUGAAUUGAAACAUCUUAGUAACUUUUUAAGAAAUCAAACGAGAUACUGAAAGUAGUGGCGAACGAACUCAGUACAGGCAAAAAACAUAGAUAAAACACCAAUUGAACCUCGAGACCAGAGAAGGUUUAAGUCCUGUAGAUCGGCAAAAACUGUGUUUUUAAGUAAAAGAGGUUGUACUCUUUGAACAAUGGGGGACCACCCUCAAAGCCUAAAUUUUGGUCUUUUGAUCGAUAGUGAACGAGUACUGUGAAGGAAAGGACAUACAUCCUAGGAUGUUUUGAAAUUUAAUGCUAGCAAUCGGUUGGAGCUUUAUAAAGUGACAGCGUACCUUUUGCAUAAUGGGUCAGCGAGUUUUUAAAAAAGGCAAGCUUUUAACGAGGCGAAGAAAAUACGAAUUUUAAAAAAUAACCAGUCUUUUUUAAAAGACCCGAAACUGAGUGAUCUAACCUUGAACAGGCUGAAGACAGAGUGGUAACAUUCGUUGGAGGGCCGAACCCGUGUCUGUGGCAACAUACUGGGAUGAUUUGAGGUUAGGAGUGAAAGGCUAAUCAAACUCAGAGAUAGCUGGUUUUCUGCGAAAUCUAUUUAAGUAGAGCGAUCAAGUAAAACUUUUUGGGGUAGAGCACUUUUUAGAUGAUGGGGCAAUUUCGCUUACUGAUUUUAAGAAAACUCCGAAUACAAAAAGCUCUGAACUUGAUCAGACAGACCAUGGGUGCUAAGGUCCAUGGUCAAGAGGGAAACAGCCCAGAUUGAUCGCUAAGGUCCCAAAGAAAUCUUUCAGUUUAAGGAAGUAAGAUUACGAAGACAACUAGUAGGUCGGCUUGGAAGCAGCCAUCCUUGAAAGAAAUCGUAACAGAUCACUGGUCGAGUAAUUUUGCACCGAAAAUUUAUGGGCAUUAAAAGAUUCGCCGAAGCGGCAAACUUUUUUAAGUGGUAGCAGAACGUUCUGUGAAAUCAAUGAAGAAAAUUUGAGAAAAUUUUUCGAGAAAUCAGAAGUGAAAAUGCUGACAUGAGUAACAAAAAACAAUGUACAGAAUCAUUGUGGCUGUAAAUCCAAGGGUUUUGACGGAAGGAUUAUCCGCGUCAUGCCAUCUUUCGAUGGACAUAUUAGACGGUCCCUAAGAACGCUGAUGACAAUCAGGUUUGAUGGGUUAAACGUUUCGUUUCUUUAAAAAAAUGACAGAUUCUUAAGAUUAUUUUUAGUUUAUAGAGGAAACUAAAGGUGGUGGACGAAUUUCAGGAAAAAGUUUUUUUACUGCACAAACCGUACCUUAAACCAACACAGGUGGAUGGGUGGAAUACACUAAAGCCAAUGAGAGAAUGAUGUUGAAGGAACUCGGCAAAAUGAUUCCGUAACUUCGGAAGAAGGAAUAACCUUGCGAGGGCAACCUUGCAAGGUUGGCACAGAAUUGGGGGUAGCGACUGUUUAAUAAAAACACAGGUCUCUGCAAAUUUGUAAAAAGAUGUAUAGGGACUGACACCUGCCCGGUGCUGUAAGGUUAAACUAUGCUGUUUUGGCAGUGUACAUAAGCCUCAGUAAACGGCGGCUGUAACUCUGACGGUCCAAAGGUAGCGAAAUUCCUUGUCGGGUAAGUUCCGACCUGCAUGAAUGGUGUAACGACUUCCCCGCUGUCUCCAACAUCACCUCAGUGAAAUUGAAAUACCCGUGAAGAUGCGGGUUAUCUGCAGCUAGACGGAAAGACCCCGUGCACCUUUACUAUACCUAAACAUUGAAGAACUCACGAUCAUGUGUAGCAUAAGUGGGAGUUGACGAUCCCUUUGCGCAAGCAAAUUGGGGAGACCAAAGUGAAAUACCACUCUUGAUCUUGAGAACUUCUCACCUCAGGACAGUGUUUAGCGGGUAGUUUGACUGGGGCGGUCGCCUCCUAAAGAGUAACGGAGGCGUACAAAGGUAGGUUUGCGUAGGUCAACAAUCUACGUGUAAGCGUAAUGGUACAAGCCUGCUUGACUGUAAGAGCGACAGCUCGAACAGGAACGAAAGUUGGUCAUAGUGAUCCGGUGAUUUUGCGUGGAAAAAUCAUCGCUCAACGAAUAAAAGGUACGCCGGGGAUAACAGGCUGAUGACUCCCUAGAGCUCCUAUCGACGGAGUCGUUUGGCACCUCGAUGUCGGCUCAUCACAUCCUGGAGCUGAAGAAGGUUCCAAGGGUUCGGCUGUUCGCCGAUUAAAGUGGUACGCGAGCUGGGUUUAGAACGUCGUGAGACAGUUUGGUCCCUAUCUACUGUGGAUGCAUGAAAAUUGAGAGGCCUAGACCUUAGUACGAGAGGACCAGGAAAAGUAAACCUCUGGUGUACCGGUUGUUCUUUCUUAGAGCAUCGCCGGGUAGCUAAGUUUAUGCAUGAUAAUCACUGAAACCAUCUAAGUGAGAAACUGCACUCAAAACUAAUUUUCAAACAAGACAUGUGGCAGACGACCACAUACAGAUAGGCCUUGUGUGGACGCCGUGUAAGCGGUGAAGCUAAAAGGUACUAAAAAGUCGACAUUUUUUGUAU
rnacentral:rRNA from 1 species